GGCGGUGUAGCUCAGUGGCAGAGCAGAGGAUUCAUAAGCCUCAGGUCGUAGGUUCAAAUCCUACCGCCGCUA
rnacentral:tRNA from 1 species